CAGCAGCCGCGGUAACACAGAGGGUGCGAGCGUUAAUCGGAUUUACUGGGCGUAAAGCGUGCGUAGGCGGCUUUUUAAGUCGGAUGUGAAAUCCCUGAGCUUAACUUAGGAAUUGCAUUCGAUACUGGGAAGCUAGAGUAUGGGAGAGGAUGGUAGAAUUCCAGGUGUAGCGGUGAAAUGCGUAGAGAUCUGGAGGAAUACCGAUGGCGAAGGCAGCCAUCUGGCCUAAUACUGACGCUGAGGUACGAAAGCAUGGGGAGCAAACAGGAUUAGAUACCCCUGUAGUCCCUGUCUCUUAUAC
rnacentral:rRNA from 1 species